rnacentral:rRNA from 1 species
CGAACGAACUCUUCGGAGUUAGUGGCGGACGGGUGAGUAACACGUGGGAACGUGCCUUUAGGUUCGGAAUAACUCAGGGAAACUUGUGCUAAUACCGAAUGUGCCUUCGGGGAAAGAUUUAUCGCCUUUAGAGCGGCCCGCGUCUGAUUAGCUAGUUGGUGAGGUAAAGGCUCACCAAGGCGACGAUCAGUAGCUGGUCUGAGAGGAUGAUCAGCCACAUUGGGACUGAGACACGGCCCAA